GGACUACAGGGGUUUCUAAUCCUGUUUGCUCCCCACGCUUUCGCGCCUCAGCGUCAGUAUUUGUCCAGACAGUCGCCUUCGCCACUGAUGUUCCUUCCGAUCUCUACGCAUUUCACCGCUACACCGGAAAUUCCACUGUCCUCUACAAUACUCCAGCCCAUCAGUUUAAGAUGCAGUUCCCAGGUUAAGCCCGGGUAUUUCACAUCUCACUUGAUAAACCGCCUACGCGCCCUUUACGCCCAGUAAUUCCGAUUAACGCUCGCACCCUCUGUAUUACCGCGGCUGCUGGCAC
rnacentral:rRNA from 1 species